ACCGCGCCCAACACCAGGACAACACCCUUUGAGACAUACCUAUAACUGUUGCUUCGGCGGGUAGGGUCUCCGCGACCCUCCCGGCCUCCCGCCUCCGGGCGGGUCGGCGCCCGCCGGAGGAUAACCAAACUCUGAUUUAACGACGUUUCUUCUGAGUGGUACAAGCAAAUAAUCAAAACUUUUAACAACGGAUCUCUUGGUUCUGGCAUCGAUGAAGAACGCAGCGAAAUGCGAUAAGUAAUGUGAAUUGCAGAAUUCAGUGAAUCAUCGAAUCUUUGAACGCACAUUGCGCCCGCCAGCAUUCUGGCGGGCAUGCCUGUUCGAGCGUCAUUUCAACCCUCAAGCUCUGCUUGGUGUUGGGGCCCUACAGCCGAUGUAGGCCCUCAAAGGUAGUGGCGGACCCUCUCGGAGCCUCCUUUGCGUAGUAACUUUACGUCUCGCACUGGGAUCCGGAGGGACUCUUGCCGUAAAACCCCCAAUUUUCCAAAGGUUGACCUCGGAUCAGGUGGGAAUACCCGCUGAACUUAAGCAUAUCAAAACCCGAGAGACAAAAGGGGGGGUUAAAAAACCUCAAACAAAACCAAACACAACACAGCAGAUGUGGAUAAGCCAAAAAAUUUUGUUCGGCACACUUUGGAGUCGUACAU
rnacentral:misc_RNA from 1 species